GUAUUUUCUGUGAAAUGAUGUUAAUUUAUAUAAUUUACAAUUUUUUCAUAGUACAUAUUCAGUAAAUGGUUGUGGAAUUUAAUUCAAAUUGUCUAUUUAAAAAUAUAGUCUAUGAACAUGCAACUGAAGUGAGGGGAAGAGUUUGAAAGUCAGUAGGGGUAAUGAAGAUUUACCACAGAGCUUGGAGAUAGAUAAGGUAUUGGAGGUAUUAAGAACAGUAUAUAUACAAAUAAACAAUGUCUGAAAUAAGCAUGUUCAAAGAAUUGGUGAAAAAGUGAAGGCAUUUUUUUCCAACAUAAUUUUUUGUUACAGUAAUAGUUGUUUCCUGAAUGUGAUUUACGUCAUGUAAUCCAUUAGAAUACAGUUGGGAGAUAGCGUUCUCUCCAAGGGUAAGAGAAAAAAAUGUUAUGUUGCAGGCCACACAGCCUCUUUGUUUUAAUGGCUUUGUGCUUUAUUUACUAUAACAAUGGACAAUAGGGUCAUAAGAAUAUGUUAGAGCCUCUGAGCUAAAAUAACAUUGAUUCUGAAGAGAGAAACACCACUAUUUAAAAAAAAUAUGUUUUAAAUGCAGCGUUUACUUAGUUCAUAGGUUUUUUAGAAAUGCCUUUUGUAAACAGCAUUGCCAUCAGCUUGACCAUAUUAACCAUAAGUAUACUAAGUUUUUUCUGAAAAUCCUGUCCCCACCAAAUUAUUCUGAGAAUUCUAUCUGCCAGCACCCUCGUUGACCCAUCUUCUACCAAGUGAAUUUAGAACCGGAGUGAAGUCUUGUCACUACACUGCUUCUGUUGUUUCUCUUUGCUAUGUGGAAUUAAAAAUCAGUCCAACAGUAGGUGCUAUUGUGUUGCUAUUGCAAGAAAGCCCCACUCCUUUACUGCUAGGUCCCAUCUAAGGACUGCUUAUAGUGCUCAGUCCCUCCAAUUCAUAUACAAAGCCACUUCCUAGAUCACAGUCAGCCCAAACUUUUGUCCACUUUCCCUUUCCAGGGACUUAUAUCUGUGGAGGGGGUGGGGAGAGGUAAUUUUUCCUUUUAAACUUCAAAAUUCAAAGGGUCUGGUUUCUCCCCUGAUUUAUAGUAGAGCUAAACACUUAGCCCAACACCCUUUUCAAAGUGUCUGCAUAUAAUUAAAGCCUUUAUUAAGUGGGCCAUCC
rnacentral:lncRNA from 1 species